AAGAGUUGCAAAACUCCAACCCCUGUGAACCUUACCUUUACUGUUGCUUCGGCGGUUGGCGCCGGUGCCCAGAUGGGCCUGGAGGUCGCCGCCGGAGGUUCGAAACCCUGAAUUCUAGUGUGUCUCUGAGAAAAGAAUAAAACAAUCA
rnacentral:misc_RNA from 1 species